UUUGCCGGGUGUCUGAGUGAAGCAAGCGGCGCCGCUUCAGCCCCCACUUCUCCCUUCUCUCACGAUCUCUGCGACGGCGUCCGCUCGCCGCCGUGAUGGUAUCCCCGUGCCCGAGGAUUCACCCAUAGACAUCUGCCUCCCGUUCGCCUCCUACGAAUACUAAUCUGGUCCAUCGUCUUACUGGAUUUGAGACUGCAGUAUCAACAUACGCCUUCCCUUUCCCUCUCUCUGCUUGGUUCUCUUCCCGGUUAUUGCAGAUCCGUGUCUCCGCCACCGGUGUUCUUCACGGAUGUUGAUCAAGUCCACACUGCCAUCCCCGCCUCUAGGUUGCUUCCCUUUCUCCACGCCACCGCGGCCGCUCCAGGUCGCUCCGCUGCCGUUUCCGUAACGCUCCUCCCCAUACUUCAUCCCAUCGCUGGUCCUCAUCCCCAUCCCCGGCGGCGCCCUAGAUGGAGGUCGGCAGCAGGUAUACCUAUGGCGGCCGUGCCCAGCAGUAUCCACGGCGGCACAGGUAUCCUCCCCGUCCUCCUUCUCCUAUCCUUUCUCCUCCGCGUACGACCCUCGUCCGCCGCGUCCCACGCACCUCCACAAUUGCGGGAUCCAUGGUGGCGCCCAGCGGGAUUCAUGUAGGCGCGGCCACCAUAGCCCAGCCCCCUCCACCGUGCCCCCCUUCCUCCCGUCCUAGCCCUUCUUCCCUUUACUAUUUGCUAUAGAACAAAAGGGAUGUUCAUGUGUGACUGAUCCACGCCAUCUGCUAUAGAACAAAAGGGAUGUUGUGGUCACAAUCUUGAAUGUAAUGCCCAAUCCUUCUAAUCACAAAUAAGCUUUGUUAAAUUUUUGAUAUAUUUCUUUGUAUUGUGAGUUUAUUCGUUCUGGAGUUGGAUAUUGAUGAACCUCAUGCCAGCACACCAGGCAAAUGAUUAUGUUUCUUGAUGAUGCUUCUAUAUUACUAGCAACUGAGGACAUUUGUAAUAUCGCGAUCUUCUCUUUGCAGAAUGCGGAGAGAUACACAAACCUGUAGAGGAUGGAGGAAGUGACUCGGUGGUCAACUAAUAGCUAGCACACAAGCAUGCUUGAUAUUUCCUGAUCUAUUUGUACGUGUUUGAUGUGUAGGCAUUGAGGCACAUGCAAAACAGGUGAGCAAUGAGCCCGAGCAGCUUGCCAAAGACUCACAUGGCUUGGAUAUGCAAUUGCUUGAUAUUGUUUUCAUCCCAUGGAAGCUCUUGUGGCCUAAUGGGCAAGUACCACCAAAUGUGAUUACUUAUGUGCUGCCUAUGACCAUCUAAUUGAAACCCCAAUGGAAAAUUUCAAGGAUUAUAUCAAGGUAUAUGUUCGACUCUUUAUGUUCAUUUUGAAUUUCUCAUAUUUUACGAUGAAGGUUUUUAUACGUAAUUCUCUGAUUACGCUCUGCAAACAUGCAUUGGUUGUCAAUAUGUUAGCUGUCCACACUAACAACUUACCUUAGUAGUGCACUUCUAUGUAAUAACAUCAAUGCUGCUGGCCAGGUCCUUUCAUCUGGACCCAUCAGUUUUCCAUAUCUCAAGAAAUCUAAACAUUAAGUUUUCAAACUUGAGUAACUGAAUUUCGUUUGUCCAAAUGAGAAUUGUGUAAGUCGUACAGACUUCCUGUGAUUUCUUUACCCAACUCAUCUUACAGAUUUCUUUACACUGAUGCUAGCAUCACACAGGAGGUUGUUCAUGUAAUCAAAAAGUGCUACAAGAAUCUAAAGCCCAAUUGAAAUCAUUUUUUUACCCAAAAUGCAACUAAGCUGCAGCUUCUUUUCGGCAGCUCUACACAUGUUGAUACUCUCCUACCAAAGCUGGUGUACUAAGAAUUAGUGAGUACUGCUAAACAUGCAGUGUGUUAUAUCUAAGUUAGUUGCAUGCCAUGUUGAGUACUUGCUUUCGUGGUUCUUAAUUUCAGGAUUUGUUGCCUGGUUCUAUAAUUUUUUGGAUGAUACUAUUGAGAUGCAGCCGUGUCACUUUGCCCCUAAUAUUUCUACACAUCUUUAUUUUCUCUACCUGUGUGCUUCUAUUCUGUGUGACUCAAAUGUCUAAACAUUGUUGUCUUAGUUCUGGCCAAGGAAAAUUCAGAUUAUUGUCAUCUAAGGCUGUGUUCAGCAACCCUCCACUCCUCUGUCACGGAGCGGAGCGGGCGGAGCAUCGUCUUAGCUGCUCUAUAAAUUACAACUGGAUGCCGCUCUGCUCUGGAACAGAGUUGCAGAGACGGAGGGAGUCCGAACAGGCUCUAAGUGAUCUCUAUGUUAGCUUCAAGGUUAGCCUUAAUAGUCAAUGGGAGGUUUAUCCCAAAUAAUAAAAUGUAGAUAUGGAAAAUGGAAAUAUAGUAGAUCUUGUUUGUUUAGGUAAGCAAUGUUAUGAUUUGAAUACCUAAAGUAUUCAAGUCCAAGGUUGUUUUAUGUGUAGGCUUACUCAAGUGUAAUCAUCAUCUAUGUUUAUGAACAUGAUUUUCAAAUUUCAGUAAGUUUGGAAAGGCUACAAUGGUUGCUCAGAGUAAGUUUUGCAUUGGUGUUAUACUGUUAGUACAUUGGCAUGUAGAAUAUUUUGUCUUGUGAUGUGUAUUAAAUCACAUUUCCUUCCUCUUCUGCUAUAUUGCAGGGUUCAAGGCUUCCUGACAAGUAACCAUAACCAUUGUUCAGGUAACUCCUGAACUGCUUGUUGCUCUUGAGUAAAGUGAUGCCAAAGGAUCAAGGGUGUUUCUCAAUCAAGAGCUAUUAGUUACCUUGACCAUGUUGCAUCUCUUCUGAUUUCUUCAGUUAAAAGGUCAUCGAUUGCUGAAUUGUGCCUUCAAUGCUACAAUGGAUUAUGAUUUGUAUAUCGGUAAUGCAUAUAAAUGAAUUCUGUCAGUAAAUGUGGACAAAUGAAUUCCACAACUA